UGUCUUAAGAUAUGUAAGUCGCUCUGGAUAAGAACGUCUGCUAAAUAACUAAAA
rfam:Salmo salar isolate Sally breed double haploid chromosome ssa01, whole genome shotgun sequence.